rnacentral:rRNA from 1 species
UACGGAGGAUCCAAGCGUUAUCCGGAUUUAUUGGGUUUAAGGGUGCGUAGGCGGCCUGUUAAGUCAGGGGUGAAAGACGGUAGCUCAACUAUCGCAGUGCCCUUGAUACUGAUGGGCUUGAAUGUACUAGAGGUAGGCGGAAUGUGACAAGUAGCGGUGAAAUGCAUAGAUAUGUCACAGAACACCAAUUGCGAAGGCAGCUUACUGUGGUAUGAUUGACGCUGAGGCACGAAAGCGUGGGGAUCAAACAGG